AGAGACAGCAGCCGCCGCGGUAAUACGUAGGUGGCGAGCGUUGUCCGGAAUCAUUGGGCGUAAAGGGAGCGCAGGCGGGCAUGUAUGUCUUUCUUAAAAGUGCGGGGCUCAACCCCGCGAUGGGAAAGAAACUACAUGUCUUGAGUACAGGAGAGGAAAGCGGAAUUCCCAGUGUAGCGGUGAAAUGCGUAGAUAUUGGGAGGAACACCAGUGGCGAAGGCGGCUUUCUGGACUGCAACUGACGCUGAGGCUCGAAAGCCGGGGGAGCAAAUGGGAUUAGAUACCCGCGUAGUCCCUGUCUCUUAUACA
rnacentral:rRNA from 1 species